AUUGAACGCUAGCGGGAUGCCUUACACAUGCAAGUCGAACGGAGUGGCGAACGGGUGAGUAAUGUAUCGGAACGUGCCCAGUAGCGGGGGAUAACUACGCGAAAGCGUAGCUAAUACCGCAUACUAUUGGAGCGGCCGAUCUGGGAUUAGCUCGUUGGUGGGGUACCGGCUCACCAGGGCGACGAUCCGUAGCGGGUUGGAGAGGACGACCAGCCACACUGGGACUGAGACACGGUCCAUGUUCCUACGGGAGGCAGCAGGGGGGAAUUUUGGACAAUGGGGGAAACCGUGAUCCAGCCAUACGGCGUGUGUGAUGAAGGCCUUCGGGUUGUAAAGCACUUUUGGCAGGAAAGCGGUACCUGCAGAAUAAGCACCGGCUAACUACGGGCCAGCAGCCGCGGUAAUUC
rnacentral:rRNA from 1 species